AAACAAUGUAAAAGAAGAGCUCUCUCUCUCUCUCUCUCUCUCUCUCUCUCUAU
rnacentral:sRNA from 1 species